rnacentral:rRNA from 1 species
UUCUUGGAGAGUUUGAUCCUGGCUCAGGACGAACGCUGGCGGCGUGCCUAAUACAUGCAAGUCGAGCGAAUCAAUAGGAGCUUGCUCCUGUUGAUUAGCGGCGGACGGGUGAGUAACACGUGGGCAACCUGCCUGUAAGACUGGGAUAACACCGGGAAACCGGUGCUAAUACCGGAUAAUCCUUUUCCUCUCAUGAGGAAAAGCUGAAAGUCGGUUUCGGCUGACACUUACAGAUGGGCCCGCGGCGCAUUAGCUAGUUGGUGAGGUAACGGCUCACCAAGGCGACGAUGCGUAGCCGACCUGAGAGGGUGAUCGGCCACACUGGGACUGAGACACGGCCCAGACUCCUACGGGAGGCAGCAGUAGGGAAUCUUCCACAAUGG